AGUUCCAGAGAUGACUUGACAGAAGAGGGCCACGCUACAUAGUGCAGAAAAUUGCACACACACACACACACACAAAAUAUUUGUGCAGUAUUUCCCAGGGAACAUCUCCCUAUUUUACUGUCACGAGUAUAUUAAUUAACUAAACUAGUUACACACAAAUGCUGAAUAGCAGAAUAUUUGUAAAGAAGAAGUUCAAGAGGUUCUGAAACAAUUUCAAAAAUAUCUCACUAGUUCAAUAAUUACACAAGAGGAUUUCUUAACGGUUGUUUGGGUCCCUUCCAACUCUCCAGUUCUGUGAUUCUAUAAUGUUGUUCUAAAACUGAACAUUGGACUUCCCGAGAAUUCAAAAGAGGUUGAACCGGCUGAACGAUGUUUUCAUUUCCAGAAGAAAACACCCCUGCUCAAGUAAGUAUAAAGGGAAAGCUAAAUCAUGAAGCUUAGAUUGCAAUAAAGUCGGAGGGCGGGGGAGAGUGGAAGGCAAUUCAUUGAAUGAAAUGAUUCACUAGAGACAGUUCCUAGUAUUUGCUGCUCAUUUCAGCCAGCGGACAUUGUCCUUGAUCAAACUAUGUUGUGGCUUUCACAGUAAUCGCUUCAGAAAUUUGCUCGCUGAAAAGAAAUGGAUUGGACUGAACAGAUUCCAACAUUGUUCCUGCUCAUCCUUACAAUUAUAUUCAUUUGGAAAUGGGGCAGUUUCUGGAGUAGGAGCUCCAAAAAUCUCCCACCAGGUCCGACACCUUUACCACUUGUUGGGAAUCUCCACAUGAUGGAUCUGAAGAGACCUUACAGAACAAUGUUAAAGGUAACAUUUUCUGUUCUUUCUGCAGCAAGGCAAAGAUUCUGUGGAUCUUUUUAGGCCAGGUAGAUGUCAGUGUUCCAUCUCAUAUAUGCAGAUAUGCAAAAAUGAUAAAACUAUGUCAAGUAUGGCUUAUUCUUUUUUUUUCUUCCUUUUUGUGUGUGACUGCUGCUAUGGUUUAGGCUGAUAGCUGAUCUGUGCAGUGGAGGGACUGGGUGACUGGAGGAGGGGAAUAGGAAUGUCACAACCAGCCUGGGAUAUGGGUGACGCUGUGGUCUAAACCACAGAGCCUAGGGCUUGCUGAUUAGAAGAUCAGCAGUUCACAUCCCCGCAACAGGGUGAGCUCCCGUUGCUCAGUCCCUGCUCCUGCCAACCUAGCAGUUCGAAAGCACAUUAAAGUGCAAGUAGAUAAAUAGGUACCGUUCCGGCGGUAAGGUAAACGGCAUUUCCAUGCGCUGCUCUGGUUCGCCAGAAGCGGCUUAGUCAUGCUGGCCAUAUGACCCGGAAAACUGUCUGCAGACAAACGCCAGCUCCCUUGGCCUGAAAGCACGAUGAGCACCGCAACCCCAGAGUCGUCCAUAACUGGACUUAACAGUCAGGGAUCCCUUUACCUUCACCUUAACCAGCCUUAUCCGCAAAAAUUAGCUGCAAAAUUAUCGAACUUUUCAGUGUGAAGCCAGCACUUCUAAAUACAUCAUUUUAGAAUCCACUCAAGUUUUCACAAUUAUCUUACGUGAAACAAAACAAAGCAAUUAUAUUGCUGAAUGUGGGCUUUUAAGUGCGCCCAUGUCUGAAAUUAUGUUCUUAUUGAAAAUGUUCAUCUCUUCGCAACACCCACAGUUCCCAGGAUUCUUUAGGCAGGUGUAAAAAAUUUUAUUAGAUUAAAUCUAGGUCUCCAGGGUAAUUUUAGCUAAAGGCAAUAUUGGAAAGCACUGGCGUUCCUCGGGUGAAACUUAGGAGCCUAAUUCUGAGCAGCCAGAACUGAUAGCUCAGUUGAUCAAGCAGGGGACUCUUAAUCACAGGGUCGUGGGUUCGAUCCCACGUUGGGCAAAAAGAUUCUUACAUUUCAGGGGGUUGGACUAGAUGAUUCUUGUGGUCCCUUCCAGUUCUACAAUUCUAUGAUUCUAACUUUCAAUUUGUUAAGGAAGGAAAAUUCACAUCAGUUUUCAACUUUAUUUGCUCACAAUUAUCUCCAAAUAUGCCUGUUGUCUUUGUCCAUGGAGUUUUCCUGGCAGGGAUACUGGGGUGGCUUGCCGGUUCCUGCUCCAGGUGGAUCACGUUUGGUCAAAACUCUCCACUAUAACCUGUCCAUCUUGGGUGGCCCUGCACGGUACAGCUCACAGUUAUUCAAGCCCCUUUGCCACUGCAAGGCAGUGAUCCAUGAAGUUGAGGCUCCAACUUUGGCCACCUCAUGAGAAGAGAAGACUCCCUGGAAAAGACCUUGAUGUUGGGAAAGAUGGAGGGCACAAGGAGAAAAGGACGACAGAGGAUGAGAUGGUUGGACAGUGAUCUCGAAGCUACCAGCAUGAGUUUGACCAAACUGCGGGAGGCAGUGGAAGACAGGAGUGCCUGGCGUGCUCUGGUCCAGGGGGUCACGAAAAGUCGGACAUGACUAAUCGACUAAACAACAACAACAUCUCCAAAUAAAAUAGAAGAGCUGCAGAAUUUGCCGUCUUACUGCACUUUCUUCUUAAUAAUUUGAAGUUACUCCUCUUGCUAAAGGCACCCAUGUGAUAGACAAUGCUUAGACAUUUUAAGUUGAUGAAUUAUACCAUGCAAUCAUGUAAAUUAAAUCAGUUUUUAUUUCAGAUCUGAGAGAGUAUCUAUGUAUGUUUAGGGGGAUUUAUUUGAUGUUUCUCUCUUUUGGUCAUUGAACUCCAGUUGUCAAAAGAACAUGGCCCCAUCUUCCGCAUCCAAAUGGGAUUCCAGAAAAUGGUGGUGCUGACAGGGUAUGAGACAGUCAAGGAGGCUCUGGUGAAUCAGGCGGACGCAUUUGCAGAGAGACCCACCAUCCCAAUGUUUGAGGAGUUUACAAGGGGCUUUGGUGAGGCCUUUCCUUCUGUAUAAUAGCUUGUGCUGUUUGUGAAAUUUAGUUAUCAUAGCAAUAUAGAAUCUGUGCCAAAAGGUUCAUAGAACUGAUUGUUAGUUUCAAUUAUAACUUGGAGGACAGCCUGCCACUCGACCAGUGUAGCUGCAGCCAUUGGAUGGAUAAUGCCAAAUGUCUUUGUCACUGCCAGCAAAAGAGUAGGGUUGAGGGAAUAGGAGAAUCUGGUCAUAAAAUAAUGUACCGUUACAACUGAAGGGCCGUAAACUAGAGAACCCCCUGUGCAAUUGUGUUUUGAGGGUACAACCCAUAGGAAUAUUGCUGAAGUUCUGGAGAAUGUGUGUCUUAUCAGAGACCGGAAGAGGGACCAACUGAGAGGCAUCCUCAGUUCCACAGAAGAAGGGUGAGAUAAGCCAAAACAUAUUAUUGUGGCCAUGAUAACUUGAAACUUGAUCUCUGCUCUUCAGGUGUUCUUUUUUCACAUGGUGAAAACUGGAAAGUGAUGCGGCGGUUCUCACUAAGCACAUUACGGGACUAUGGCAUGGGGAAAAGGUCCAUAGAGGACAGAAUCGUGGAAGAAUGCAGUGUCCUGAUUAAGACAUUUGAAUCUUACCAAGGUGGGUUAGUGUUUCCCUCUACAGCUCCAGGGCAAAACAACACUACAUUAGAUGCCCAGAAUCAUGUGUUAUAUACAUAUUGCUAACUCUCAGAACUAUAGUAACCAAGAUUCCCUGUGAAGAAGUUACCAAUCUGCAGUGUUCAGGUCAGUGUGAGGUAAUGCUGGCCUCUGUCCCUCUUUCCUGUCCUCCCUCCUACGAUCCCCUCUCGCAUCUCUGCCUCCCAAAGGCUUGCACAGCUGUUUUUUGCAGCAGCCCUGGCUUCAAGCUCCCAAGGAGAGGGGAAAGGAGAGGUGGCUGAGGGAACACUUCAUGAGGGAGGGUGUUUGAAAAAGGGUGAGAGACCACUGGCUCUGCAGGCAAGGGGUGACAUACCGGUAACUGGCUCCUGAGGCUUGGAGUGCAUUUGCCCCCCAGGAAAACCACAGAAAGAAUGUAGCUGGUCAAGGGAGUCAUGGACUCAAAAAGGAUGAAGACCUCUGGUUAGAUAUAUACUGCCCAUGACUCUUUUUAGCGUUUCUUAACUCAGAUAUCUUCAAGUACACCAGAAUGUAGGAUCAGUUUCUAAGAUAAAUGUGCUCUAUACAUCGGUAGGCUGACACUGGGAACCUAAGGCAGAGAAGAGCAAUUCUACUUGGUAUUUUAUCUGAGCAUUGCUUAAUAUUUAUGUAUAGGACAACCAUUUGAAACCAGCACAAUUAUGAAUGCCGCUGUUGCCAAUAUCAUAGUGUCCAUCCUACUAAACAAGCGAUUUGAAUACGAAGACUCCACAUUUAGAAAACUUCUGAAGUUGGUCAAUGAAAAUGUCCGGCUUUUUGGAAGCCCCUCUGUCAUGGUAAUCUAAGCUUUCUCGAAUGGAAAAGAAAUAGUUGGUUGUAUUCACAGAAUACUCAAUGUGGGUGCAAUUCCAUAUUGUUCGGGCUUCACUACAAAACACAUCUUGAGAAAUAUGAGUUGCGUAAGAUCCCAGGACAGCAUUUCCUUCCAAAGGUCCUCACUCAGUUGUCUUUGUGCAGCUUUUAGGAGGGGAGAGGUAUUGCAUAUUUGCAAGGAAAAGUAUUAGUAGAAAGGAAUUGCAAUCUUCAGGUAUUAAGGAAAGCAGAGAAAUUAAUACUCACCUUUCAAAGUAAAGGUAUAUUGGCCAAAUAAUACAAAUAAUUAUUCGGUUUAGAUCAAUCAUCCUUCAGUUUUGAGCAGAAGUGACAAAGAGACAUUAAUUCUCCAGUUACUAAAGAUGAAUGGAAGUGGUUAUAAUUUUGAAAGAGACAAUUGUUGGAAAUUCAAAAAUAUAGGAGCAGCUAUUUUACACAUAUAUUUUGGACUUGUUGUAAGAUUAAAAGCUUUUGGUUAUAUAUUAAAUUCUUGGUACCAAUAUGAUUUUAAUACCCAAAUACAUUUGAUUUGGAAAGGCAUAGCAAGCAAGGGAGAUUUUGGACAUUGCAACUGUUAUAACCACUACAGCAAGACUAGUCAAAGCUAAAUAUAUGUAUAAAUGUAUAAAACACAUGGGAUGCAGCAUUGUUAACACAACUGAAAAGUUUUAAAAGGGAUAUUGAAAGAAGGACCCCAAAUAAAUUUAUUUUUAAAAAGCAAAUAUAAAAUUUCAAGACAAUAUUCACACCAAUUAUUAUUUUCAUUCAUAUAAUUGGAUAUUCUGCUUAAAAUAUAAUAGUUAGAUAACUCAAACAUAACUGACGUUUUGUAUAUUGUAUGCAUGAUCUCAUGAAAUUAUAUAUAGUUGAAAUAUUUUAUUUCUUUUGUAAUUUCAUCUUUUUAAAAAAUAAAGGUGGUUUUUUAAUAUACACGACCCCAUAUCUAUCUGUUGGGGACUCCACUUCUACAUCCUUCUAUUGGGAGAAUGCCUGUCUAUUCCUAUGCCCCACUUCCUGACCCACUAGAGGACCUCUCCUCCUUAUUCCAACGCCUGCUUUUCUUAACCAGGAGUCUUUGUUGUGCAAGCUUUUUUGAAAGUCUAAGUCGGGUGUGGGGAACCUUUGACCCUGGCUAAUGCACAGGGAUAAUACAAGCAACGUUGGGGUAGAGCUAAAAAUGCCCCACCGCCAGCCCAAGACAGAUGCUGACAUGAGCCGAGGUGAAGCAAUUUGCCUCAGGUGGCAGAUCCAACCGCUUCCCUGUCCCUGCUGUUGCACCAUUGCCAGCCACAUCUCAGUUUUGCCCAUGCCACCAUGGCUGCUGCCACAGUGCCCUGUUUUGUGGCAGCACUGUGAGUGACACCAUGGGCCUGUGGGGGGACAGUGCCAGGGGGGGAAUUUUGCUGCCCCUGGCCACUUCUGGUUGACCUCUGUCUAGGGGCUUGUCCACAUCUCAGCAAACUGCUAAUACAGAAGUACAAGGGGGCUCCAUAACUACAACAGCACGUAAGAAAAUGGCCUCCAGCCUUGGCCUCUAAGGGAUAUUUAUUCAACGUUGCUCCAACCCAAGUACAUUUUUGUUCUGUGUCAUUGUUUAUUCCUCUGUGGAAGAUGAGAUAUUUGGAGUAUCACCUGAGAAUUAAGCACUGGGCUUUACUCUUCGUUGUAUUUUAUCCUUACAGCUUUAUAACGUAUUUCCUGCUCUUGGUUCGCUUUUGGGAGCCCGUAAGACUAUCCUUCAGAACAGAGAUGAGAUGCAUGCCUUCAUAAAUGCCACCUUCAUACAACACCUCAGAGAUCUGGAUAAAAAUGACCAAAGGAGCUUGAUUGAUUCAUUCCUUCUGAGACAGCAAGAGGUAAUGGAGUCUUUUAAGCCCACCAAUAAUUUUUUUUAUACUUUCAAAUGUUGAAAUUUUCACGUUUUAAAAAUACAUUUCCAUGUGAGCUGGUGUCUAAUAUACAGUGGUACCUCGGGUUAAGUACUUAAUUCGUUCCGGAGGUCCGUUCUUAACCUGAAACUGUUCUUAACCUAAAGCACCACUUUAGCUAAUGGGGCCUCCUGCUGCUGCUGCUGCUGCUGCUGCGCCACCACUGCACGAUUUCUGUUCUCAUCCUGAAGCAAAGUUCUUAACCUGAAGCACUAUUUUUGGGUUAGCGGAGUCUGUAACCCGAAGCAUAUGUAACCUGAAGUGUAUGUAACCCGAGGUACCACUGUACUCUGCACAUUUUAUUUUAUUUUUCCUCUAUAAAGCUUUGGCUAAUAUCUGGAGUCUGUGACCUGAUUGCUUGCAGGGCUGUUUUCCAGUGGGACUCCCACUCCUCUCAAGAGAAAAAGAAAAAAAACAACCUUUGAGAUACGGUAGCUCAGUUGGUUGGAACACGUUGCUGCGUACGCCAAGGUUGCAGAUUUGAUCCCUGUAAGGGACAGCUGCAGUCCUACACUGCUGAUGUUUGGAAUAGAUGAUCCUCAGGUCUUUCCAACUCUAUGAUUCCAUGAUUCCAUGACUAGUCCAACACGUCAUGCUCCCCCCCCCGUAUUUCUUUUGCACCAUGCUCCUUUCUUCAGCCUGUGACAUGCUUUCUUUCUUUCUUUUAAAAUAUUUUUAUUAAUUUUAAUGUACAAAAUUGUUUAAAGACAUACCACACAAAUUCUUACAUACAUAUUCUUAUUUGGACUUCCUUCAACACCUCCGUCCUAAUCACUUCUCCUGCAAUUCUUGACUUAAUAUUGCCUUUACCUUUCUUAACAAAUCAUCUCCCCCUUUCCAUUUUUACAAUAUUUCUUAAAUUACUCCUCACAGAACUGCUUGUAAACCUACAAACGUAAUUUGAUCAUCACAAAUAUUUUUUCAAAUACUCCAUAAAUUUAGUCCAGUCUUCGGUGAACCUCUGGUCCUGCCGGUUUCAGAUCCUUCCUGUUAGCUUGUCUAAUUCUGUGUAGUCCAUUAGUUUCAUCCUCCAUUCUUCUAACGUUGGUAGUUCUUCUUGUUUCCAUUUUUGGGCCAGUAAUAUUCUUGCUGCUGUUACCGCAUAUAAAAAACGCUUACAGUCUUUUCUAUUUAUAUCAUUUCCAACAAUACCCAAAAUAAAUGCUUCUGGCUUCUUUAUAAAAGUAUAUUUCAUCAUUUUUUCAACUCGUUAUAUAUCAUCUCCCAAAAGCAUUUCACUUUUUUACAUUCCCACCACAUAUGGUAAAAUGAUCCUUCUUUUUCUUUACAUUUCCAACAUUUAUUACUCACUUUAUACAUUUUUGCUAACUUAACUGGUGUGAUAUACCAUUUAUACACCAUCUUCAUCACAUUUUCUUUUAAUGCAUUACAUGUGGUAAAUCUCAAACCUUCUUUCCACAGUUUUAUCCAAUCACUUAACUGUAUGUUAUAUCCAAAAUCUUUUGCCCAAUGAAUCAUAACUGAUUUUACCUCCUCAUCUUUCAAGUGCCAUUCAAGCAGUAAUUCAUACAUUUUAGACAAAAUUUUAAAAUCAUUAUUCAACAUUUCUUGUUGAAACUUCGAUUCUUUUCCAGAGAAACCUUUUUCUUUAACAUCCUGUUUAAAUAUUUCAUUCACCUGGUAAUAAUGUAACCAAUUGUUAACAUACUUUCACCUCCUCGUAUGGUUUCAAUUUCCAUUUUCCUCCUUCUCUAAUUAUUAGUUUGCCAUAUGUUAUCCACUUCCCACUCAUAUUGACCUUUUUUACACACAUCACUUCUAAUGGAGACAACCAAUGUGGUAUUUUUGGUUCCAGAAGGCUUUUAUACUUAUCCCAAAUUUCUAUAAGAGAUCUUCAAAAUAUGUGGUUUCCAAAUCCUUUAUGGACUGUUUUCUUAUCAUACCAUAAAUAUGUAUGCCAUCCAAAUCUAUUAUCAUAACCUUCUAAGUCCAGCAAUUCUGUAUUUUCCAAUUUCAUCCAUUCCUUCAACCAACAGAGGCACAAUGCUUCAUAAUAUAAUUUCAAGUCCGGCAGGGCAAAGCCUCAUCUUUCCUUAGCAUCUGUUAGUAACUUAAAUUGUAUUCUCGGCUUUUUGCCCUGUCAGAUAUAUCUUGAAAUAAUCUUCUGCCACUCUUUAAAUAUUGCUGCCCCUUUUAUUAUUGGAAUUGUCUGAAACAAGAACAACAUCUUUGGUAGCACAUUCAUCUUUAUCGCUGAAAUCCUUCCCCAAAAUGAUAAUUUCAACCUUCCCCAUACCUCUAGAGCUCUUUUGACACUAUUCCACAUUGGUGUAUAAUUAUUUUGAUACAGAUCAAUAUUUUUGGGAGUUAACCAAAUUCCUAAAUAUUUAACUUUCUUUACCACUUCUAUACCUAUCUGUUGCUGCAACGUUUCAACCAAUUCCUCUUCCAUAUUUUUAGCAAUCAUCUUAGUUUUCCUUUUGUUUAAUUUAAAACCUGCCACUUGACCGAACUGUUCUAUCUCCUCUAUUACUUCCUUAAUAGUUAUUGAUGGAUUUUCAAUUGUUAAUACCAAGUCAUCAGCAAAGGCUUUUACCUUAUAUUCAUUUCGACUAACUAUAACACCCUUUAUUAACUCAUUUCUCCUUAUAGAUCUUAAAAGAACUUCCAGUACCAAUAUGAAUAAUAAUGGUGAAAGAGGACACCCUUGUCUUGUAUCUUUAGUAAUUGCAAUGUUUUCUGUUAUUUUGCUCAGUAUAUAUAGCUUUUAAUCCAUUUAGGAAGAAUUGACCCAUGUCCAUAGAUUCCAAAUUUUUUAACAUAAAUUCCCAAGAUAUAUUAUCAAAGGCCUUUUCAGCAUCCACAAAAAUUAACAUUGCUUGUUUUUCAUUCCUGGCUGUCAGAUAUUCAGUUAUAUUGACUAUAUUUCUUAUGUUAUCUUUCAUCUGUCUGCCAGGAAGAAAACCUGCCUGAUCUUUAUGUAUAAUUUCUUUCAAUAUUUUUUUCAUCCUGUUAGCUAAUAUACUUGCAAAUAAUUUAUAAUCUUUAUUCAACAACGAAAUUGGCCAAUAAUUCUUUACUUGCGUUAAAUCUGAGUCCUGCUUCGGAAUAAAUGUAAUAUAUGCUUCUUUCCAUGUUUCUGGUAAUUCUCCUUCUUUAAUAUAUUAUUCAUAACUUCUUUCAUUGGUACAAGUAGGGUGUGUUUCAUUUCUUUAUAAUAUCUUGCAGUAAAUCCAUCCGGUCCUGGUGUCUUCCCACUUUUCAAUUCUUUUAUAGCUUCUUUAAUUUCCUCUACAUCAAUUGGGUCGUUCAGACUGUCUUUUUUAUCAGUCAGGAUUUUCUGCACCUCCUUUUUCCUCAGGAAUUCUUCUAUUUUUUUAAUGUCACUUUUCUCAGUUCUUUUAUAUAAAUGUCUGUAAAAGUCCACAAAUCCUUUCCUAAUUUCCUUCGGAUUAUCUAUUUCUUUUCCAUCUACAAUAAUUUUAUUAAUUGUAUUCUGUUCCUUUCUUUUCUUAAUUUGCCAUGCCAGCCAUUUUCCAGACUUAUUUGCAAAAAAUUUCUGUCUCAUUCUUUUGAUAUUCCAUUCUACUUCUUUAUUUAUUAUCAUUGCAAAUUGAGUUUGUAAUAUUUUAAUAUUUUGCUUUAUUUUCAAAUCAUUUGCUUUUUUAAUUAAAUUCUUCUCAUUUUCCAUUUUUUGUUUUAAAAUUUCUUUUCUCCCUUUUCUCUAGUUUUCUUUUAUCGUAUUCUGCUGAAUAAAAAACCUUGCACCACAGCUUUGCUGGCAUCCCAUACUAUACUAGUUUUCGUACCCUUAUUACAGUUAUUCACAAAGUAGUCUGUUAAGUUCUUACGUGCCUUUUCUAUUAUUUUCUGAUCAUCUAAAAGACUCUCAUUUAUUCUCCAUCGAAAGGAUUUUUCUUCUAUUCCUUUAAUAACAUACUUUAUUGCAUUGUGAUCCGAAAGUACCUUUGGUUGUAUUUCAAUUUUUAAAAUUCAUGGUGUUAAUUCACUAGAAAUCCAAACCUGGUCGAUUCUUGACAUUGACUGAUUUGCUUCUGAGUGGUAAGUAAAUUGCUUUUCUAAUGGGUGUCUUAAUCUCCAAAUAUCUAUCAAAUUACAGUUCUCAAUCAUAGAAAAGAAAGUCUUGCGUAAUUUCCCUUCUUUAACAUUCCCACUUGCUCUUAAUCUGUCCAUUUCCAUUGACACCACUCCAUUCAUAUCUCCCAUUAUUAUGAUUUUCUGAUCCAUAAAUUCAAAUAACUUUUCCUCCAAAUCUUUGUAGAAAUCAGUUUUAUUUCCAUUAGGUGCAUAGACCCUGACUAUUAUAAAUUUUUCGCCUUGCCAUUUGACUUGAACUGCAAUAACCCUACCUUCCUCAUCUUUGAAAAUCUGCUGAGCUUCUAAUUUAUUUUUUAUAUACAACACCACCCCUCUCUUCUUGCUUCUGUCUGAUGAAAUAAAUUCAUUACCUAGUUUUUUAUUAAUUAAUACUUUUUUGUGUCUUCUCGCCACAUGAGUCUCUUGCAAACAAAUGAUGUCCAAAUUCUUCUUCUUCAAAUAAUAUUCAAUUUUAUUGUGUUUUUUCUUAUCGUUCAUCCCAUUAACAUUCCAAGUCCAUAAUUUCAACGCCAUCUUGUGUUCUUUUUAUAAACCAAAUAAAUUAAAGUCUUAAGCCUGUUCUUCUUCUUCUUCUUCCUUUUCCUCUUCUUCUUCUUUUUCUUCUUCCUCUUCCUCUUCUUCUUCUUCCCUUUCUCCUUGUUCUUCUUUGUGGUCCUUCUCCCCUCUUUCCGGUCCCGCUGGGCCCCCUGCUCCCGCUCCAGCUUCGACUGCUUCCUCUCCCUUCCCAGUUCCUUGUAUCUUCUCAGAAACUUCUGUGUUUCAUCUGGAUUUGUGAGUUUAAAUUUCUUCCCUUUGUGAAAAAAGGAAAUCCCUUCUGGGAAUUCCCAUUUAAAUUCAAUUUGAUUUCUCCUCAAGGUCUGUGUCGGUGGUUUGUUAGGGUCCCGUUUUUCAAUAAUCGAAGUGGAAUGUCCUUAAAGAUGAUUAUAAAAUUCCCAUCAAUACUCAAUCUUUUUUCUCUAUUUUUCUGUAAUAUCAAAUUCUUCAUUUCUCUGUCUUUAAAAAUAAUUAAACAGUCACCUGGAAACUUCUUUGCUUUAACAGAUCUUGCCUUAAUUCGAAAUGCAUUUUGAAUGGUUUUCCUAACAUCUUCUACUUCCAUGCCUAACCACUGAGCAAUUUCUGAUGCCAGUUUCUCCCUUAUAUUCUCCCCUUGUACCUCAGGUACCAACCUCAAUCUCAAAUUCGCCUCUCUUUGCCUCAAGUCAUUCAUAGCAAUCGUGUCCCAUAUUCCUUCUUGUGUUUAAUUAAUUUCUGAAACUUCAGCUCUCAUCCUUUCCUCUUCCCUCUUUACCUCUCUCAUCUCCAAUUUUGUUCUUUUCAUUCAUUCCCUCCUCCAAACUUUGUGUUCUCUUUGUUACAUCCCUCAUUUGUCCUUUCAAUUCAUUAACUGUCAAAUCAAGUUUUUUAUCCAUCUGCUCCAACCUUGUCUCUAAGUUUUUCUCACUUUGUUUAAUAUCUCUCUUUAUCUCUGCAAACAUCUUUAAUAUGUCUCCUUUCAGUUCCAUCUCCUGUUUGGAUCCCCUUCUUUCCCCAGGUGUCGCACUUUCACUCCCUUUUUUCUGCGUGUGGGACAUUCUCUUGUCUUAGUAAUUUCCAAUUAAAAUUAUAACAUCCAAAGUUUGAAAAAAAAAAAUUCUUGCCACUUGCUUGGCUAAUCCCCGAUCAAGUUUUAUAACAUUCAAAAAUUGGGAGAUUAAAUUUUCUUGCCACUUGUUUGGCUAAUCCAAUCAAAUUAGUUAUGAUCCAUCAUACUGGAGAAGGGGGUGAAACAGAACAAUAGAUAAUAACAGAUUAAGAAGUGUGAUGGGAUGAUGAGCUGCUUGUGCGUAAAAUCGUAUCCCCUCAGAGUUUGUUCAAGUCCACAAACCUCUGUCUGUGACGGAGCCCCUCAGACAUGGCUCCUCUAGUCACUAGCAGAUUCCGACAGUGGUUGCUUUCGUAAUCGCUUCCAACAUAAAAGCUCCUUAACGGAAACACGUCUUCUGGACUCUCUGCGUGACAGUUUCCGGCGAGGAGUGGGUGUUCUUACAGGAGGUCCUGAAACCUCCCCACUGUUUUCGCUGGAAGUGUCUCUGAGCCAUCCCUCCAGCUCAGCUCCUCUCCCCUGCUGGUUCCCUCUUCAGCUGCUGAGUCUCUCCCAACCUGUGUGAGCCCUUUCACCUCCCUGCUGGUUCCCUCUUCAGCUGCUGAGUCUCUCCCAACCUGUGUGAGCCCUUUCACCUCCCUUCCGUCCGAUGGCAGUUCCCUGACAUCCACCUCCCCUCCAGGGCCCCCUUCACCCCCUCUCGCCCCCUCCUCUACGGGCGGUGAGGAGGCAAACCCCGGAAUGAACUUCCUUCAUCUUCCGAUGUCUCGAACACUUCUCUCCACCUGUUGCGGUUCCUGGUCUCGAGUACACCUCCUCCUCAGAGUCCAUCUCCCCUUCCCUUCCGAGUCCGGGAAUCCUUCCAACUCCUCCCCUCAUCAGUGGUCCCAAAGUAUUCCCUCCGGAACCUCUCCACAGGCUGAGGUUUCCUUGGGAACCUUUGAUGGAACGUUUCUAUCAAUACCUCGUCAUUGAUAUCUUCGGCCAUUACCCAAGUGUUUUCUGACUCCGGUUCUCCUUCCCACGCUACCAAAUACUCCACCUGAUCCCCCUUCCACCUGGCGUCGAGGAUUUCUGCCACAUGGCUGCUGCAUUCUCUUUCUUCUAUGACCGGUCCCCGAGUGGCCAUCCCUUCUCGUCCCCCCUUCGUACGGUGACAGUAACGACCUGUGAAAUACUGGGUGCAGUUUCAUGUGGUUGGGUAACCGGAGCCUGAAAGCCACAGGGUUGACCUGUUGAAUGACCUCAAAGGGACCCAACCUCCUGGGUCUUAAUUUCUUACAACCUCCUUUGAACGGCAACCCUUGGGUUGACAGCCACACCCUAUCUCCCACCCUUAUGGUUUCACCUUCCCUUCGGUUCUUGUCUGCCUGCCUCUUGUAUUCUUCCUUCGCCCUUUCUAAGUUGAGUUGGAGCUGACGAUGGAUUGCUUCCAUUUCUUCCACAAAAUGCUCGGCUGCCGGGACGCUCCAUCUCUCCCCAUCGCCCCCUGGGAAAGCCCUGGGAUGACACCCAUAAUUAGCCAAGAAGGGGCUCAUCCCUGUGGACACAUUCUCGGCAUUGUUGUAGGCAAAUUCCGCCAGCGCCAACUUUUCUACCCAGUCAUUCUCUCUGUCAUUGACAUAACACCUCAGGUAUUGCUGGAGGACACCGUUUGCUCUUUCCGCCUGCCCGUUGGUUUCAGGGUGCCGGGCAGUCGAAUAAUUGACCUCCACCUGCAGUAAGCUCAUGAGCUUCCUCCAGAACCUGGAAGUAAAUUGUUUUCCUCGGUCUGAGACCACCCUCAAUGGCACCCCGUGCAACCUAAAAAUGUGUUCUACAAAUAACUUCGCUGUCUCUUCCGCCGUGACUGCAUGCGAGCAAGCUACAAAGUGGCACAUCUUUGUUAGUAGGUCUACCACCACCAUGAUGGCUGUUUUCCCUUUGGACUUCGGCAGAUCAGUCAUAAAAUCUAUCGACACUGCUUCCCAAGGUCGUUCUGGGGUUGGUAAGGGUUCUAAUAGCCCCGCCGGCGCCCGCCUUUCCCCUUUGGCUCGCUGGCAUUGCUCGCACCCUCUUACAUACUCACGUACAUCUUCCCUCACCUUAGGCCACCAAAAUUCCCUGGUGACCAACCACAUGGUUUUGUGUUGUCCAAAAUGCCCCGCCGUAGGGCUGUCGUGCAACUGCUUGAGUACCCUUCCCCUUAACUCUCCUUCAGGGAUAUACAGUGCCCCUUUGUAAUACAAAGCUCCAUUUCUUUCCUCGAAACCCCCUGGUUCCUCUCCCUCACCCCUAAGACCUCUGAGCUUAUUCUGGGCGUAUUCAUCAUUCUCUGUUUCCUCUACCAGUUCUCUUUGUCCCACCAAUGCCGCCCCACACACCCAGCGGUCCUCUGGAAUGACAUGUCUCUCUUCGGGUGCUCCCUCCUCCAAAUAUUCAGGUUUGCGUGAGAGAGCGUCCGCCCUAAUGUUCUCUGGGCCUGGCACGUAACAAAUCUCAAAGUUAAAUUUGGAGAACUCCUGGGCCCAUCUCACUUGCCGUUGGUUGAGCACUCGUGCCGUCCUCCAAUACUCUAGGUUCUUGUGGUCAGUGCACACUUGCACCUUAUGUUGUGCGCCAAAUAGCAGGUGCCUCCAUCUCCGGAAUGCCUCAUGAAUGGCUAGUAGUUCUCGGUCAUACACCGUGUAGUUCCUCUCGGAUUUGUUCAGCUUUCGCGAAAAAAAGGCACACGGUCUCCACUCUGACUCCUUCUUCCCUGGCUGCAGAAGCACCGCCCCAAUCGCUCUGUCUGAUGCGUCAGUUUCCACUCUCAGAUGCCAGCCCACCAGCGGAUCAUGUAACGCUAGCCAGCUCAUCCCCAAUAUAAUGGGAGCUCCUCCCAAGGUGGCCACAUUAAAAGCUAUCAGUUCGGUGUGCCUUGCUACCUUCAUUAUCAUUGGGACGGUCUGCAAGCUGACUUCUCCUCCCAACAGCUCCCUGCCAUCGAUCGUGGUCACCUGCAGGGGGUUGCUUAAAGGGAUCGUCUGUAUCUGGUGUUCAGCUGCAAACUCUUUGCUCAUGAAAUUGCAGGAGCUGUCUGAGUCCAACAGCGCCUUUAUCUUUAGAGGGUGUCCGUUUAGCAGCUCUAGCGUCACUUCUAUCACUAGGGCGGGUUUAGGAGGUUCUGGCGUGGGCACUCUCACUGCUCUUUGGCCUGGCUGCUGUGCCCGACAGUGGCAGCCAGGCGUUGACUUGCUCCGGUAUUUCUUCCUCUCUUCCAUCCACAGCUCCUACCAUCCCUUGCCAUUCCUUCCUCUGGGGGCAGACUCUGGCAAAGUGACCUGGCUGUUGGCAGAGAUAGCAUUUCCGGGCGCCUUUUCCCUCCUUCUUUCCCCCUCACUGGGCUUUGAAACUGCGCGCGCGCGCUGUUCCGAUUUCCAUCGGCUCUGCCGGCGGGAAAGUUGGCUCUGGAAUGUCUGGAAUGCGGAACUCCUUCCAACGUUCCCCUUUCCCUUCCCGCCUCUCCAAUGCUCUCGCCUCCUGGCGCGCUCCUAUGGUCAGCGCUGAUUUGGUCAGCUGGUCCAUAGACUCCGCCCUGGGCGCCCGGGAAAGUUCGUCUUUCACAGCCGAAGAAAGCCCUUCUUCAAAGAGCAUUUGAAUGGGUUCCGCCGAUAAGUCCCACCCCAAUCUGUGAACAAGCAUGGUGAACUCAGUCCAGUACUCACGGACAGAUCGGCUCCCCUGUUUGCAAGCCAUUAACUGUCUGCGCACCACUCCCUGUUCAAUAUCGCUGGAAAACAUCAGAUCCAUGGCGCGAAAGAACUUCAUCGUGUCCUUUAGGACGUCACUAUUCGCUGCCAUCAGGGUCUAACCCAGUCUCUCGCCCCUUUUCAAGAUGCUCAAUCACGAAAGCCACUCGUGAUUCCUCGUCAGGAAUUCAUCAAACUGCAGAUUGAGGGCAUAUUGCAUUUCUGUCCGAAAGCCAUGAUAGUUUUUGGGCUCCCCCCCAAACUUCUGCACCAAUCCUGGUACCUUUCUGGCGAGCUGGGUGGCUUUCCCCUUUUGUCUGCAUCCUGAGCCCUCCUCUCCUCAAGCCUCGCCGUCUGCAUCGCUAGCUGGACCUCCAACACCCGGUACCUUUCUUCCAGGCUUGGACCCGCUCCAGCUCCUGCUUCUCCGGUUCCGGCUGGGUUGCUCAUGAUACCUUCUCCUGCACAAGCUGCUUUCAAAGACUGUCGGAAUGCUGUGAUGGGAUGAUGAGCUGCUUGUGCGUAAAAUCGUAUCCCCUCAGAGUUUGUUCAAGUCCACAAACCUCUGUCUGUGACGGAGCCCCUCAGACAUGGCUCCUCUAGUCACUAGCAGAUUCCGACAGUGGUUGCUUUCGUAAUCGCUUCCAACAUAAAAGCUCCUUAACGGAAACACGUCUUCUGGACUCUCUGCGUGACAGUUUCCGGCGAGGAGUGGGUGUUCUUACAGGAGGUCCUGAAACCUCCCCACUGUUUUCGCUGGAAGUGUCUCUGAGCCAUCCCUCCAGCUCAGCUCCUCUCCCCCUGCUGGUUCCCUCUUCAGCUGCUGAGUCUCUCCCAACCUGUGUGAGCCCUUUCACCUCCCUGCUGGUUCCCUCUUCAGCUGCUGAGUCUCUCCCAACCUGUGUGAGCCCUUUCACCUCCCUUCCGUCCGAUGGCAGUUCCCUGACAAGAAGGAAGUAAAAUAAAGAAUAAAAAAGAAAAGUUGAAUAAUAAAACCGGUUCAGAAUACAAAGAAGGAAACAGAAAAAGAAAUUAAAAAUUAAAAUGUAAGAUAUCUGAGAAGAAAUAUUCUAAUAUUCUAAUAAAAAAUAAAAAUAAAGAAAAAGAGAGGAAAAGGAAAACUAAAAGAGGCAAAGCUAGGUAUAAAAAUCCAAAAGGGGAGAUUAAAAGGAGAAACCAAACAAAAAAUCAUACACCAAACCAACUCAAAGAAUGAUAAGGAAGGGCAAGACAAAAAUUAUAACACAGAUAGUAGAGAAGAGACAGAACAAAAAAAGAAAUAAAAAAUAAAAAAUAAAGGGGAGAAGUCCCAGUCAAUUUUCUUCACCAAAGCAGCUAAGCCCACAUCAAAACAAAAACAAAAAUAAGAGUGGAGGUCCAACAGAAAUCGUCAGAGAGGGAAGGAACGAAAAAAGCUAUUUUUAUAGAUGCAAUCUAACGUCUCAAGAAGUAUUUGGUGUCUCAAAAAAGAAAGUAAAAAAUGGUGAUGCUCACUAUCCUUCCCACGUCCUCAAAGAAACAGAAGGGACGGGUAGUUGAAUAACUUCUUCUCCCCACUCCUUGUUUCCACAUAAAAAUUAACCAAACUUCAUAAAAAGAAACAGCUCAGUCUAGUUUGGCUUCUCACUUCCACAUAAGGCUGCUUUGGCACAAAGAGAAAUUUUAAAAAGAAAUCAAUAAUAACUAGAGAAGGCUUCCAAACAAUUGACAACGCAGUUCAUUAAAAUCGAAAGUAAAAAAAAAUUCUUAGAAGUUUCCUUUACCUCCAGUCCCAGACGUCCACCAAAAAGGCAAAUAAAAAGUUAUUGUUCAGGGUUUUAUCCCUUCCCCGCUUAAAUCCACCUUCUUAAAUUAAAUAAAUGUCUCUUUUAAGUUAAAAAAUUCCGUUUGAGGUAACUCACUGUUUCAUCCGCUCUGUGGGUAAUCUUUGCAUAUAAAUAAGAUUCCAGACGAGGCUGACCUCCUUCUUAGCACCCCGCUACUUCCAAAUCGUUCCAAAUUAACAUAUCCCGAUAGAUAUUGCCAAUUAAAUUCGGGUUUCUUACUGUUUGAGAAUCAAUCGCUGCAACGUGCAAGCCUGGGGCUGCGCUUUCGGAGGGUAGAAAAUGGUGUCCCGUAGUGCCAGCGUCUCAAUCUCGCCGUUCUCUUCACCUCUAAACAGAGGCUACCUGACGGCCAAGGGACCCUGUGACAUGCUUUCAUGGAUAAAAGAGAUUUGAGUGUGCUUGCUGUGUAUGAAUAUUCUACUUUCCUAGACCGCUUCUCUGCUCUUUCCAUUCCAGUGAGUGCCCUCCCAACCCUUGGCUAGCUACUUUGAUAUCUGCAAAUGGAAUUUCCUCAUUCACCUUGUUAUUGCCAGUUCUUUCUUUUUACACCACAGGAGAAGGACAAGCCAAAUGGAUAUUUCCACAAUGAAAACCUAAAAGCCGUUGUGGGUAACUUAUUUGCUGCUGGCAUGGAGACCACUUCUACCACACUGCGCUGGGGACUGUUACUAAUGAUGAAAUAUCCUGAAAUUCAGAGUGAGUGCUUUUCAUUGGGUUGGCUCCCAUUACUCUAGCUAGCCUAUCUUGAUUCUAGUUAUACAUAACUACAGUGGUACCUCUGGUUACGUACUUAAUUCGUUCCGGAGGUCCGUUCUUAACCUGAAACUGCUCUUAACCUGAAGCACCACUUUAGCUAAUGGGGCCUCCUGCUGCCACCACGCCGCCGGAGCACGAUUUCUGUUCUCAUCCUGAAGCAAAGUUCUUAACCUGAGGUACUAUUUCUGGGUUAGCGGAGUCUGUAACCUGAAGUGUCUGUAACCCGAGGUAUGACUGUAUCUGGGGGCCUGGGAAGCUGGGGGGCUGAGCCCCAGAAUAUUCAACGAGGGGGGUGGCCCUCCUCAAUAUUCCACAACCGGGUGGGCCUUGUUGGGCCUAGUUUCACUGUGUGACAUGACACAUGUCAGCCCCCCCCCAAUGUUGGGUGUAGUCAAGCAUGCAUGUUCCUGACUUUCGCUUCCUACAUAACUAUAAGCAAAUUGUGUAUUUUCACUAAAAUUCUCAGGUGAAUAGCAUCUUCCACAACUUUGCAUUAUGUUGUUAGAUUGUGCUCAUAGAUCAGCCAGCCCCAUUGAAUAAUUAGCUGUCAGUUACUCCAGGAAAUCUGAAGAUAUGAGUUGGUGGCAAACAUAUGCUUUUGAGUUUGGCAUUUGGGGGGUGGGGACAAAAAAACCCCACCAAUGAGUUUAUUUUAACAACAAAAUUCCCCCUCCACUGCCCCCAGAUAAGGUCCAAGAAGAAAUUACGAAGGUUGUUGGAUCUUCUCAACCAAGGAUUGAGCACCGAACGAAAAUGCCAUAUGUAGAUGCAGUGAUCCAUGAGCUCCAGAGAUUUUCUGACAUUGUCCCCACAAAUCUGCCACAUGCAACCACUGUGGAUGUUACCCUCAAAGGCUACUUCAUUCCAAAGGUAAUCACUUUGAUUAAACUGCAUUCUUUGCUCAGCUGACUGCAAUCAUUUCUUCUUUAAUUAGGACAUUACACUUUAGGCUAUGAAGAAGAAUAGUUUGGCUUUUGAUAAACUGCAUUCUUUGCUCAGCUGACUGCGAUCGAUUUCUCCAUUAAUUAGGACAUUACACUUUAGGCUAACCCUAGGAGCAGGCCCCACUGACCUUCUUGUAAAGUAGGGGGCCAUUGCCCCCCUUGGGGCCCCUGUUGGAGCCCCAGUUCCCUAGUCUGGGCAUACUUGCUUCUGCCUUCUUUGCUGCAUACAGGUCUUUAUUGAGUCAUCCCAGAAACGUUGGGCAAGGGGCUCAGUCAACUGUUCUCUCAGCCCAAUGAUGACAGUUUAAGGAGCUAAUGGUAUAUUUGGAAAACUCAGCAGUGGCCAGAGGAUUGGAGAAGAUCAAUCUACAUCCCAAUCCCAAAGAAGGGCAGUGCCAAAGAAUGCUCCAAUUACUGCACAAUUGCACUCAUUUCAAACGCUAGCAAGGUUAUGCUUGAAAUUCUACAAGGCAGGCUUAAGCAGUAUGUGGACCGAGAACUCCCAGAAGUGCAAGCUGGAUUUCAAAGGGGCAGAGGAACCAGAGAGCAAAUUGCAAACAUGCGUUGGAUUAUGGAGAAAGCUAGAGAGUUCCAGAAAGACAUCUACUUCUGCUUCAUUGACUAUGCAAAAGCCUUUGACUGUGUUGACCACAGCAAACUAUGGCAAGUUCUUAAAGAAAUGGGAGUGCCUGAUCACCUCAUCUGUCUCCUGAGAAAUCUCUAUGUGGGACAAGAAGCUACAGUUAGAACUGGAUAUGGAACAACUGAUUGGUUCAAAAUUGGGAAAGGAGUACGGCAAGGCUGUAUAUUGUCCCCUGCUUAUUUAACUUAUAUGCAGAAUUCAUCAUGCGAAAGGCUGGGCUGGAUGAAUCCCAAGCCGGAAUUAAGAUUGCCGGAAGAAAUAUCAACAACCUCAGAUAUGCAGAUGACACAACCUUGAUGGCAGAAAGUGAGGAGGAAUUAAAGAACCUUUUAAUGAGGGUGAAAGAAGAGAGCGCAAAAUAUGGUCUGAAGCUCAACAUCAAAAAACGAAGAUCAUGGCAACUGGUCCCAACACCUCCGGGCAAAUAGAAGGGAAGAAAUGGAGGCAGUGAAAGAUUUUUUCUUUCUUGGGCUCCAUGAUCACUGCAGAUGGUGACAGCAGCCGUGAAAAUAAAAGACACCUGCUCCUUGGGAGAAAGGCGAUGGCAAACCUAGACAGCAUCUUAAAAAGCAGAGACAUCAUCCUGCCAACAAAGGUCCGUAAAGUUAAAGCCAUGGUUUUCCCAGUAGUGAUGUAUGGAAGUGAGAGCUGGACCAUAAAGAAGGCUGAUCGCCAAUGAAUUGAUGCUUUUGAAUUAUGGUGCUGGAGGAGACUCUUGAGAGUCCCAUGGACUGCAAGAAGAUCAAAUGCAUCCAUUCUUAAGGAAAUUAGCCCUGAGUGCUCACAGGAAUGACAGAUCGUAAAGCUGAGGCUCCAGUACUUUGGCCACCUCAUGAGAAGAGAAGACUCCUGGAAAAGACCCUGAUGUUGGGAAAGAUUGAGGGCACAAGGAGAAGGGGACGACAGAGGACGAGAUGGUUGAACAGUGUUCUCGAAGCUACAAACAUGAGUCUGACCAAACUGCGGGAGGCAGUGGAAGACAGGAGUGCCUGGCGUACUCUGGUCCAUGGGGUCACGAAGAGUCAGACACGACUAAACGACUAAACAACAACAACAAUGGUAUAUAAUCUCUGGAUUAUAUUACGGAUCAUUUCUUGCUUUAAAAAAAAAAAGACACUGAGGACUAUACCAUAAUGAUUUGCUUGACAGCCGAUAUCCAUUUUUUAAAUAACUCUUGCUUUUCCUUCGCAGGGGACUCACAUCAUGCCACUACUGACCUCCGUGCUGCACGAUGAAUCUCAGUGGGAAAAACCAUACCAAUUUUAUCCAGAGCACUUUCUUGACUCUGAAGGAAAGUUCAUAAAGAGAGAUGCAUUCAUGCCUUUCUCUGCAGGUAACUCAAUUUCUGUCUAUUUAUACAUAUCCAAUGUGAGCUUAAUGAACAGGCCAUCCUAAGUAUAUUAACAUAAAAUAAAACUUGGAUGGAGGACCCAGUGACAAACUUUGGAGUACUUAUAUCUGUCAUUUAGAACUGCAAUAAGAUACCCAACAUCAUUCAUUUUCAGUAGGGCAGCUUCUGGGCCAGUGGCCAAAUUGGACUCUUCAAGGCUCUCUAACCACCCUCAGAACUUCCCCCAGGCCUUGGCUUUCAGUGGACCUGCUCUGUGUUCCCCUCGUGGGCUUUUGCCUGGCCGGAAUGUGCCAUUGAUCUAUGAUAAUGCCACCUGCUUGCUAUGGUGGAGAAUGGAUACAGGCUGUUUGGAGGAUUAGGGUACAAGAAACUCUCAGACCGUGGGCUGAAAAACAUCCGCUCCCCUUGGUUUUCAGCCCUGUAGAAUGCUUCUUGCUGGGAGUUCAUCUUUGCAUACUUGCCAACAUUCCUCAGAUGAAAAUCAGGACAUUUUUCAUACUCAUCCAACUCACCCUCCUCAAAAGACCAUUUGUGGUCCCCUGUCCACCUUCAGAAAAAGUCGAGUGCUGCCAUUUCUAAACCAACAGGACUCACGACUUGCACCCUCCACUGUCCUGAGAAAACCUCUUAGGCCCAAUCUGAUUUUAUUCUUUUGGUAGAUUUACAAAAGGAAAAACACACACCGAUAAACACAUUUUAGAAAGGGGCAAGAUUAGACGUGGCUGCCCCAAGCAUUUUUUAAUAAAUCCAGACUCCUUGUGCUCCGUUCUGCUCCCCUUCCUCCCACCCAGGACUGCUCUGCCCUCUGCCUCCCCUCAGAGCCACUGCAUCAUCAUGCUAGUUCUCGACAGCCACAUCCUCUCCUCCAGCAGCCACUACGGAGGGGCAAGUGCUGACUCAUACUUUUCCCCAAGCUCAGCAGCAGAGCAUGCAUUGUGGGACUGGCACUGGAGAAUUGGGACACUUGGAGAACAUGCACUUCUUCAAGAUUAGUGUUCAUUCUUGUUGCAUUUUAGAAUGGUAUCAUUAUGAAAUUUCAAACAGUAAGCAGUUUGAUGCAUUCCAUUAUAGAUAAACCAAGAAAAUGUUGUUAAGUAAGCAAGGAACCCAGUUUCAAUCCUGCUUGCGCUUCCUUACAGGUCGGAGAGCAUGUUUAGGUGAGAAUCUUGCCAAAAUGGAGCUCUUCCUCUUCUUUACAAGCCUCCUGCAGAGAUUCACAUUCCAGCUACCUCCUGGAACAUCUGAAGAUGACCUGGAUUUGACCCCUGCUGUUGGGUUCACAACACCUCCCAUGCCCCACCAACUCUGUGCUCUGCCACGUUCAUAAGACGCAAAGUUCAUGGGUUGCUUAUCCUCCCUGUGUGUGCAACGCAAACCGCUUUUUAAACACCCUUAUUAACCAUGGACAUUUUGGUUCAGUAGACUUCCAGUAGGAUUGGCCUAUGCUGUGUCACAAAACUUAAGUGUUGCACACUAUGUUCUGCUUAAUGUUUGUAGUAAAUACGAUUCCGUGUUAAUUGUAGUGCUUUAGUUCAGCCUAGGAAUUAAAUUUUGAAAUUUACUUGAUUCUGUUCAGAAAAAAAUUACCUACUAACAUUGAAAUCUAUAUAUUUUGUGUCAAGCCACUUCAUUCCUUGUGUAUUUUAUUGUGUCAUCAUGUGGUUCUAAGUGAAGGGCACUUUUAAAAACAAAGAUUUAAGUGAUGGAUGGUCAAAAGGGAGUAGUCAAAUGCAGGUGUUUCUCCCCACUCUGAUCAAGAGGCUCAGAUUUUAACUGAGGGCCGCAGGUAUAGCAAGUCUACAGGUAAAAAAAAUAGAUUAAGUCUUUCCAUGUGAAAAGGUAAAGGGACCCCUGACAGUUAAGUCCAAUGAUAAAUUCCACUGGUUUUUUUAAAAUUUGCAUCAGGAAUCUGAUUAAGAACAUUGUCCCCAGAUUUAUCUAUAUUAUAUAUCCUAUAUUCUAUAUUCUAUGCAUCUAUAUCCAGAUCAUAUUUCCAAAAGAUAAACUCCCUGUUUAGGAAAUGUCUUUGGGUCUUUGGAUGAUUUUACAUAAAUACAAAGCACCUUUGGGAGGUUGGGCAGCAUUAGGAUCAAGAUAUUUGAAAGUUCAAACAACUCUUGAAACAGUUAAGUCUGUUAGAAAGAUAUGGAAUAUAUUAGCCAAUAAAAAUAAAUUUCAUUCACUUUCAGAUGCAAAACUUACUCUGUGGAGAAAUUCUAUUUUAAAAAUUGGGGGCGGGGGUAUUAUGGGAAAACUGAAUGGGAGAAAUCACUGUUUUAACUGAGGGCCGCAGAAAUAGCAAGUCUACAGGUAAAAAAAUAGAUUAAGUCUUUCCAUGUGAAAAGACAUGAUGUGUCACAAAACUUAAGUGUUGCACACUUAUGUUCUGCUUAAUGUUUGUAGUAAAUACGAGUCCGUGUUAAUUGUAGUGCAUUAGUUCAGCCUAGGAAUUAAAUUUUGAAAUUUACUUGAUUCUGUUCAGAAAAAAAAAUUCCUACUAUAAUCUGUAUUUCGGUAAUAUAUAUAAUCUACAUAUAAUCUGUAUAUUUUGUGUCAAGCCACUUCAUUCCUUGUGAAUUUUACUGCUUCAUCAUGUGGUUCUAAGUGAAGGGCACUUUAAAAACAAAGAUUUAAGCAAUGGAUGGUCAAAAGGGAGUAGUCAAAUGCAGGUGUUUCUCCCCACUCUGAUCAAGAGACUCAGAUUUUAACUGAGGGUCACAGGUAUAGCAAGUCUACAGGUAACAAAAUAGAUUAAGUCUUUCCAUGUGAAAAGAGCAAUGAUAAAUUCCACUGGUUUUUAAAAUUUACAUCAGGAAUUUGAUUAAAAACAUUAAAAACUUUCUGUGUAAAAAUCCUGUUUUAAAAAUUUGGGUGGGUAUGGAAAAACUGGGUGGGAGAUGCUGUGAUCACUAGGCCUGCCCUAUUUUGCUUUCUUUGACUAAAGAGUUAACUUCCCGGCACUGGUGGUGUUUUUAUUGCUGACCUACUCCUGCCUCCAGCUCCUGCCAGCUUAUGAGGACUGAAGGUCUCCACCUUCCCACUGCCCUCUAAGGCUCCUCCCCCAGCAGCCUACAGCUCCAUCACCUUGCAUCUCAUGACUUUGCCGUCAUCAUUUCUCUCCAUGUUCUGGGUGACCAGGGUGAAGGGAGCUGGUCGCAGCAGGAGGGGGAGACUCCCCGGAUGAGGCAGGCCUCAUCAUCUCUGUCUCCUGGCCCCUUCCUCUCCUGUCUGAACUGCUCUCUGCCCCAGCUUCUUCCCACUCACGAAACCCUGUUACCUCUUCAGCUUCCAACACCUCCUCCUCCCAGUCAGCUCCCUGUUCUCCCACUGACCACUCAUCCCACCACCAGUGCCCUGACUCUGAACUUUCUCCCCCUGGGGGUUUCCAGCUGCUGCCUCCCAUCUCAGCCAGUCCAUGAUACCUACCCACU